rnacentral:rRNA from 1 species
UACGUAGGGUCCAAGCGUUGUCCGGAUUUAUUGGGCGUAAAGAGCUCGUAGGCGGCUUAGUAAGUCGGAUGUGAAAACUCGGGGCUCAACCCCGAGACGCCAUCCGAUACUGCUGUGGCUUGAGUCUGGUAGGGGAACACGGAAUUCCUGGUGUAGCGGUGAAAUUCGUAGAUAUCGGGAGGAACACCGGUGGCGAAGGCGGCGACCUGGGUCGAUACUGACGCUGAUGCGCGAAAGCGUGGGGAGCAAACAGG